rnacentral:rRNA from 1 species
UACAGAGGUCUCGAGCGUUAGGCGGAAUCACUGGGCUUAAAGCGUGUGUAGGUGGAUCGUUAAGUACCUUGUGAAAUCCCACGGCUUAACCGUGGAACUGCUUGGUAUACUGGCGGUCUUGAGCCAGCUAGGGGCUACCGGAACAAAUGGUGGAGCGGUGAAAUGCGUAGAUAUCGGGAGGAACACCAGUGGCGAAGGCGAUCACCUGGGGUUGUUCUGACGCUGAGGAGCGAAAGCUAGGGGAGCAAACGGG